UACCGCCAUAGAAGGGAGAAAGCACCUCAUCCCGUUCGAUCUGAGCAGUUUCAAACCUCGCCAUCGCUCGUUUAGUACCAUCGUGCGGGACCAGAUGGGAAUCUCGAGGGCUGUAGUU